GUUUAUCACUCCGCGACAGGUGUCAAUAUCCUUAUUACGUAAUAUUUUCGUUCAUUUUUUCAUCGCUUAAAUCGACGCUGUUGUUAACUUCGUAUAAUUAACAUUACUGCUUGAUCGCAAGGAAGACUGAAGUAUUAGGGAGACGUCACGAAAUUCGAAAGGACAAGAUGACAUUCAAAAGGACGUCAUGAUGAUUAGUAAUGAAUCCGAUAACUUUUCAUCGAAAUAUGUACAUUCAUGGAGAUUCGAUAGAAGAAAGGAGAGAAAUAUGUAAAAUAACCCUAAAGUACCACCCCUAUCCCUUAAUAAAGUUCUUUCCCAGAAAAUUUGUGUGAUCGCGCGCAAUGCGGUCGGUAGAAUCAGUGUUUGAUGCGUUAUAUGUAUAAUUUUAAAUAUUUUUUAGAGCAUAAUGGCUCUCAUUAAAGUUAACGAUAAUACUCAGGCGCGAAAAUAGAGUCAGUGUGUUCGCCGAUUGUUAUUUAAACGAACGCGUUGAUAGUCUUUUUUUUAAGUCUCUCCUGGAGCUCAAGAAUGUUUUUCAACUUCCACUUUUUUCAGUUUUUCGGGAAGGAUGUAAUGGUGCUUCAAAACUAAGCAUGUUUUUCACUGCUUCCUCUUCUUUCUGUUGCCUGGAAAGGAUGUUGUGGUGCUUUAAAGGCCAAAAAUGUUUCGUCCAACCUUCGCUUUUUCUAUGGGAUUCUACAAUUCCUAUGUGAUGACGGUUUCAUGGUGACUUUUUAAUUGGGAUUGCGGUUACAACAAUAUCGACGACAACGUUCUUCGCAUCUAAUC